rnacentral:rRNA from 1 species
GGACGAACGCUGGCGGCGUGCCUAAUACAUGCAAGUCGAGCGGACAGAAGGGAGCUUGCUCCCGGAAGUCAGCGGCGGACGGGUGAGUAACACGUAGGUAACCUGCCCCUUAGACUGGGAUAACUCCGGGAAACCGGAGCUAAUACGGGAUAAUAAAGAGAAUCACCUGAUUCUCUUUUGAAAGACGGUUUCGGCUGUCACUAAGGGAUGGGCCUGCGGCGCAUUAGCUAGUUGGUAAGGUAACGGCUUACCAAGGCGACGAUGCGUAGCCGACCUGAGAGGGUGAUCGGCCACACUGGGACUGAGACACGGCCCAGACUCCUACGGGAGGCAGCAGUAGGGAAUCUUCCGCAAUGGACGAAAGUCUGACGGAGCAACGCCGCGUGAGUGAGGAAGGCCUUCGGGUCGUAAAGCUCUGUUGUGAGGGAAGAACAAGUACCGGCGUAACUACCGGUACCUUGACGGUACCUCACCAGAAAGCCACGGCUAACUACGU